UGAUCAUUGCCUAGAUAUCUAUCUAUCUAUAUCUAUAUCUAUACCUCUAUAUAUACCUAUACUAAUUUGUGACUCCCUAGAAAUUACUGUGUUAUUUAGAAUUUAUGAGCCGUAGAUCUGAGAUAGACCAAGUUAUUGCCGUAGAUCUGAGAUGGGACCAAGUUAUUACGGUGUAGAUUAAUUUUCGUCAAAAAGAAAACUUUUGGCCAGAUUAGUUCGGCUGAAAAGAAAAAACCAGAAAGCCCGCCAUCUUUGAAGCCCAAGUAGAGGCCCAUAACUCUCUCACGGUAGUACUCUCUCAAUCUCUCAGCUCUCUCUUCCUCUCUCAUAUCUUUCUCUCCAAAACAGAUCAGGCCUCGCCCCCGUAGAUCUCCUUCCGUCCUUCCGUUCGCCGCCCUUCCCAACUGCAACAUCAUCCAGCUUCCCCGACUGCCGCCCUUCCUUGCCGCAUCUUAUCCACGUUGGAAUCGAUCCGAAAAAACAAGGACCAGAUUAACAUGUCCAUUGUGGUUGAUGCAGCGGAGGAGGUGUACCAUGUACCAUGACGGUUUGAAGCAGAUUGGAUGGCCGUCUCUGUCAACCCGACUGCCUAGCAAACAACGAUGGAGAUUUGAUGGCUGAUGCAAGCUCUGCAAUUUUCUAAGGAAGAUUUGUGGUAAGUGCAUAUCUAAGUAAACUGGGAUGGACUAAUAUUUGUUUAUCAUUUUUAUCACUUUAUUAUAUAAAAGGCCCUGAUGCACAUAGUGGGCAGUCAUGUACAGCUGAUAUAGUUGAUGUUUGAUAACAGUUGGUUCAAGGUAUGUGGCCUUUUGCAUUUUUCUAGACCUAUCUAUUUUCUGAGUUCUGCUGUGCCGGUAAAGACAAUAGAUCGAGAUAUUUCGGUCCCUACAGAUUCUUUGUUAUUUGAGGACUAAGCAUUAAACAUGUUCCAGUUUCUAGCCCAUUACAUGUAGAUUAGUUAUUUAUUGAGUUACUAGAAACUGUUUAAGGUUCCAAUUUAUUCUCAGUUAUGUUGUGAAGGGCUGCACAUGUGAAUUGACAUAGCAAACCACUUAUGUUGAUAUGCCUGAAGCAUGUACAUUUACUUUCCUAUUAUGAAAAACAUUCAAUCA